rnacentral:lncRNA from 1 species
GGGAGGAAUGUUGGGUGUGCCCGCGCCUCACACAAAGGCGGCGGUUGGGCGGGAGGCGCAUGCGCAGGGAGGGGUUGGCGCACCCACGUGGUGCUGGGUGAGGUAAAUACGGAGGAGCGUUGUCUGUGGGGGAGCUCGUAGCUGUGCGAGGGGGAGCGAUGGGGCUCGGUGUGCCUCAGGGGCAGGAGGUGGGGGUCUCCGCCUGAGAGGUUACUGGGGCUGCUGCUGAGCGUCCUGAGCGAGGCAGAGCCGUGCUGGCUUUGGGAGGCGCUCAGCUGGGAGCUGUAAGGCAGGCACUGCCUGUUGGCUGGGCGGAAGGGCCCUGCUGAGCAGCGCUGAGCGCUGUGCCCUUCCCUCAUGCUGCCCGGUGCGCGGGGAGCCGUGCCCUGCUCCUCAUCCCUGUGAGGUGUUCACUGGGAUCUCGUGCUUUGGCUCCCGUUACACCUACCUUAUAAACCCUACUGGCAGCGAGGCCUUGUCACCUGAAAUAAGCAAAGUUAGGCAACUCGGGGAUUGGGGGGAGGUGAGCAGCUCUGAGGUAUGGCCCUGCUGCUCCUCGUUGUGAGUUUAAUUUCUGGGCUGAGGGAAAUUAGUUUGUAAGCUAGGUGCGAGGUGAGCUGUGCCCAGCAUGGCUUUGUUGUGAACGAAUUGAGCCAAUCUCAUCUCCAUCUCUGGCAGUGCAGCAGCUUGCAGGUGAGGGUAAGGCAAUGUGUGUCACAUAACUUCAUUUUUUAGUAGAACUUCUGAUGUUGGCUUGCAGGGUUUUCUAAUAAUAAGCUGGAAAACCAGUCUACGUGAUACUGCUUUAACAGGGUUGCAGAACUAGUUGAGGAAAAAUGUACUUGGUAUCAGCACUUGUCUGGGGAACUACCUUCAGUCCAUUACUCAUCCACAGUGAAACAGGCCCUGUAAUUACUGCGUUUGGAGAUGAGGUCAAGUUUGAGCUUGUAUUAAUGCACUGUCAGAGAACUAGAAUGCAAAAAGAGGAACUCUAGGGAAAAAAAGUAAGAGGUGUGGUACUGUAUACUUCAUAGUUGUGGAGUUGAUUGUAUUGAUCUUAGGAAAAGCAGCUGACUGUGCUGCAGGAAAGGAUGGAGGGGCUGCUGUGGGCUGUAAGCUGAAUGAGUAUCAGUGUCUUGUUGUUGGAGAGAAUGCCACACAGGUCUGUGUAAGUAAGAAAACUGCUAAUAAGGCACAGGCACCCUGCUAUGCUGAGCUGUGCUAAGACAGUAUGUCCAGUACUGGGCUCCACGUGAGGGAAUUUUGUGUGAUUUGGAGAAAAAAAAGUAAAAAUAAUGAUCGAGGUCUUUGAACACAUGGCUCUUACAGAGCCAGAGAGAACAGACAGCCACAGACAUGGUAAGUCUUCAAAUAGAUAAAAGGAUGGUGCCGUGAGGAAAGGGACAAUUUGUUCUCUCAUGUCCACUGGGGGUAGGGUGAGGAGCCAUAAGCUAAAAUAACAGCAAGGCUGAUCUGGGUUACAGUGGAAAAAAUGUUCAGUGAUUCUUCUGAACUAGUCAGGCACAGCGUUGGACUGACUAGGCAAGAUGUGGGCUCCUCUUAGAGGUUUUAAGAAUAGAUCAGACAAAUACUUCUCACAGCGGGUGAGGUACAAUAUAAGAUCUUGUGUUCGGGAAGGGGACUUUGCUUAAUGGGCUCCUAAACCAGUGUUACUGUGCUUCUGUAGCCCUGAGAUACAUAAUCGUUGCAGCCCUUAUUGGCUUAACGAUAAAACUAGUUCAGCUGCACAGAUUAAAGAUGCUCAACUAGGCCAAGUAACAUUACAUAACGGGAAUGAAAUUGCGUUUAAGCAUGGCUUUAUGUUUUCAAAAUGAUUUUCACCAGAUGGGGUGAAAGUAUCCUAAAUGAGGAACUCUGCAGAGCCUUUAAGCAUUAAAGGCUAAGGCCUCAUCUUCAGCAUAGCUUUCCAGAGAAUGUUCCACCUUUGUUCCUGUGGCAUUGCUGAUGCAAUUAAAGUGUGGUAAUCCAGAAAGGAUGCCAAUGGUUUUGAGAUUAAGGCCUCGCAAGCCAAAUCAAACUGAUUUUAAUGGAAGUAGUUUAGGUCAAUAUGACCUUAAGAUAUAUCAGGGGGAAAAAAAGAGCUGGGACAUCGUUUUCAUUCUUUUAUUAACAGCAAGGGCAUACAGCUGGUAACAGCUACUCAAAAAGUGGGUUGCUAUGUAACAAACGGGUAUUUGCAGAUAAUAGUGUUUAGUUUGAGAGGCCUUCUAGAUGUGUGUUAUUCACCCCAGGAUUUGAAAACUUUGCAAUUCCUGACACUGAGCAUGAUAUCCUAUCUGAUGCUUAAAAGGGGGACACAAGAAAGGUCAUCUUUUCCUAAUUGCAUCCUCUGCGUUUCUAGAACUGCCAUUUAGAUCACAAUUUAUCAAGAUUGAUUUUCAUCAGAAAUACUCUUGAAUUAUGAGGAGUGCUUGCCUUAAGGACAGACGAAGUCACCGAUUGAAAUAACUGCAAAUUCAGGAAUUUUAAGCUUGAAAAGUCAAUGUAUCCAAUUGUCCUGGUUUUUUGUUGUUGUUUUUGUUUUUUUGGGGUUUUUUUUUGCAUCUUAAUACGGUGUUAUGUGUGACAACUGUUAGAAUGUCAUAUAAUUUGUGCAACUGUUGUAAUAGAAAAUAAGAAGGAAGGCAGACUGCAUAUUGAUCAGACUUACUGAGCGGUCUUCUUGCAUGCUGGCUGUCUAGAUAAUGAUAAGCUCGAUGCUGAUUGCUUUUUCCUUCCUGUCAGAGAUGAUCUGUGGUGGGAGCCUCCAUGCUCAAGCUGGUAGGCCUGGGGGCUGGGGCUCCAAGUGCCCACCUUUAGAGCUAAGUGUCCAAGUGUGCAAUGCUCAGCAGUGCCUGCCCUGCUGUUAGCCUGCUUUCCAAAGAUUGUAUGCUUGAAUGCAUUUGUUCCAGUUGUCCAAGCAGGACUUGGUGAAUAACAGCAAGGUGGUGGUGUUUGGAUGAUGGUAGUGUUUUACUCUAGCUCCUGCAGAAAAUCUUCUCCACUAGAAAAGAAAUAGUGGCAGUAUUUAUUGCUUUUUCUUUUUAGAUUUACUUUGAAGCUGUACACAGGUGUUUUAAACACUCUCAUUCGAGACAUUCACUAGGAGCCAGCCCUGCUAUUUCCUGAACAUAUCUUCCACAACCAGCAAAAUCUCAUGUCCUGCAGCCUGUGCUGUGCUGCCACAGGAGCUGUGCCCACCUCCCAGGCUGUCAGUUUGCUGCUUCUGUGCUUCUCCAUCAUCCUGUUGCAGCACCUUAUGGCAUCAGGUUUGAGCAGCAUCCUGGUACACUGUUUUGCUGUCACACUGUGAACAAUCUCAUUUUUUUUUCCUAUACAAUAACCUUUACUGAGACCUUGCACUACAACUAUUAUCAAGAGGAAUUAUUUGCAAGAGAUAGGCCAGAUCCCACCUUCUAUCUUAAAGUCCCAAACCUGAUAGUGCAGGUAUUUCCCAAGUACUGAUGGUGCCUUCUGUCAUUCAAGGUAUACUUGGGAACUGUAUUUUCAGUUUCUCAGAUAUACAGUUAGUUCUUAGAUCUGCAUGUUGUGAUGAUCUCAAGCCUGCUAGUGCAAUUUUGCUAUGUACCACGCCCCCCAUAUGAGAUAGGCUUUUCCUUAAGAGAGAUUCUUCCUGUCCACUUCUGGUGCCCUUGAGAAGAUUCUCUUACUGGUCAUCCCUUCUGGAAGCAGUAGGAUGCUGCUCAUUAGCUCUUUCUGUUUUACCAUUAUUGAAAACAUCCCUGUACCAACCAUUUGCUUUUUCAGAAUUUAUCUCCAUGCAUAACAGGUUUGUGGAGUACCUAUGUUGAGAACACACCUGUUUUCCUCAUCUUGGUUCCACACCCUUUUCUGCUCUAAUGAAUUUGUGGCAGGUGGCUUCAAACACGAGCUCCAACUUCACUGCCUGUUUCUGAGCCACUGACAUGGAGGAAGAGGAUUAUGGCACUUGGGUAUCUCCUCAGAAGCGAGCCCUUUGCUUGCUGAGAAUUCCUGGGGAGCUGAUUUGGCCAUCCCUCCCCUUUUAUCUGUCAUCUAGUUUGUGUAUGGUCUUCCUGUACUUGGACAGGCUUUGGUUAUCCUCCUCUUCCUGGACCAGCAAAUAUUUAACAAGAGAAACAUUUGCACUGGAAAAAAAGUGUCUUAGGAUAUGUCUGAUGUGAUCCUUCAGCAGAUUAACAAGAUACAGUUACAUGAUGGAGCAAUGAGCUUGGACAGGGAAUAUAUACAGCUGCUUCAAUUUAAUUCUCAAUAUUUUCAGUUCUACAGCUUCUCCAGCCAUUCUAUUUCUGCACACUAGUUGGUUUUGUUGUCAUCUUUUUUGCAAGAUCAUCUCCUUUAGAGGCUUAUUGUGGAGACUGAAAAUUCUGCAGAACGUGGUGUUUCUAUUUGGAGGACAGUUCUACAUCCAGUUACUUAAUCUGAAAAGGAACAGCAGGAUAAAUAAUCACAGAGGGGAUUUGAAGUGUUGAUGUAGAAUUAUGAGGAUCAAAAAAAGAAAUGGGAAGAUGGUAUCUACCCUGGGAGUCUGGAGAUGCUCGUGCUCUUGAGUUUUGUUGCAACACAGAAAUAAAGGGUGCAUGUUGUGGUUCUGCUCCUGACACAGCUCUUUUGCCAUGCAGGAAGCCUCUGAGGAAGUUGCCCUGCAGCUAACUGAAAAACUUGGCUUCAAUGUGAGAAGUAACUGAAGCACACAUUGGCAGUGGGUGGCAGAAGGGCCCAAGGUUUCAAAAGCGAACUGCGUGGGACCGCUGAAGAAACAGUCCAUUGAAAACCCACCUCAUGUAAGUUUUAGGCAAAGGUGGUCUCCAGCCCUUUCAAGCAGAAUUUCAAGUUGCUGAGCUCAUCCUCCAGCACCACUUGGUACUACUCAGGGUAGCACUUCCAUUGCCAGGAUCCAGCUCAGUAGAACAGUCCAUCUUUGCUCUCAUCAUUUGGCCCAAGCACACCUCAGCACCCAGCAAGUUCCCUCAUUCCUAUUGAAGAGAUGGGAAUCCAGUGUUCAUCCUGAGUACCCUGCUACACCUUCUGCUUCCGUUUCCAUUUGCAAGAAGUGUUUGCUGCUUCUGUGGAAUUUAUUAAAGAUUUCUUUAAUAAAACUACUGUUGUAAUUGA